rnacentral:rRNA from 1 species
UACGGGGGGGGCAAGCGUUGUUCGGAAUUACUGGGCGUAAAGGGCUCGUAGGCGGCCAACUAAGUCGGACGUGAAAUCCCCAGGCUCAACCUGGGAACUGCGUCCGAUACUGGAUGGCUUGAAUUCGGGAGAGGGAUGCAGAAUUCCAGGUGUAGCGGUGAAAUGCGUAGAUAUCAAGAGGAACACCUGAGGUGAAGACGGGUUGCUGGGCCGACACGUGACGCUGACAGCGCGAAAGCCAGGGGAGCAAACGGGG